ensembl:lncRNA
CACGCUCCCGGGUCACAGCGCCCCCUGGCGGCUCCAACGAGGCGAGCCGAGAGCGACACAGCCGAGCGAUCUGAAGGCAUGGAGGAUGAUCAUGUAUAAGGAGGAACAAGAGACCCAAUGCUAUCCAUAGCCAUUCAUGACACUGCCUUACACAGGUUAUACAGCUCUCUUCUCUUCCCAGCCACGAAGACGGUUUUACAGAGUGCAUUAGGAAACAUGCUGCAUGUCCUCACUCUCUGGAAGGCUUAUGCACAUUAUCUAUAUAAAUGUGUGCAGUGAUAUAAGGACCACACUUUAGAGCGCGAAGAAACCGAGGCCCAGGAGCAUUUGGUGAAAGGCACACAUGGAAAUGAUAACAAGGCUUCAAAUCUGGGCAGACAUCUUAAGCACACUGGCCUCUCUUACAU